UCCAGGCUUUUCUCCAGUGAUAACACCAUAAAUUCCUACAGGGAUUCUUUAGAAUUUUCCUCCAAAAUUUUCUUCACAAAUUCCCCCAGGAAUUUGUCCAAGAAUUCCUUCAGGGUUUCCUCUAGAAGGUUCUCCAGGGAUUUUUCCAGGUUGCCUCCCUGGAUUUCUUGGUUAUUACCUACAGGUUUUCCUUCAGUAAUUUCCUAAAUUAGAUGCCUCCAGAAAUUCCACCUGGGAUUCCUUCAAGAAUUCCUCCACGAAUUCCUGCAUGAAUUCCUCCACGGAUUCCUGCAGAGAUUCCUCCAGGGAUUCCUCUAGGAAUUCCAUCAGGAAUUUUUCUAGGAAUUUCUUCAUGGAAUCCUCCAAGUAUUCUUUCAAAAAAUGCUCCAUGUAUUACUUCUGGAUCCCUCUAGGCAUUCCUUCAGGAAUUCCUCUAGGAAUUCUUUCAGAGAUAUUUUUUAGACAUUCCUCCUGUUUUUACUCCAGGGAUUCUUCCAAGGUUUCCUCCAAAUUUGUCCUCACAAGUUCCUCCAGGGAUUCCCCCAAAAAAUUAUCCAGGGAUUGCUUCUAGAUUUCCUUCAAGGAUUUCUCCAGAAUUCCUCCAAGGAUUGUAACAGGGAUUACUGCAUGAAUUCCUCCAGAGACUCCUGUAGAGUGAGCCCCAGGGUCUACUUCAGGAUUUUUUUCCCUGGAAUUACAGAUGUUCUUCCACGCAUUCUUCCAAAGAUUCCCAAAAAAAAUCCUCUAGGAAUUAUGUUAUCUGUUUUGCCAGAGGCUCUUCUAGGAAUUUCACCAGGGAUUUUUUUUUCAGGGAUUCUUCCAAACAUUUCUCCAUAGAUUCGUCCUUCUAAUAUUUUUCCAGGAAAAUUUUCAGGCAUUCCUUCUGAGUUUGCUUCAGGAGUUUUUCCAGGGAUUCUUCCAGAAAGUGCUUUAGAGAUUACUAGAUUACUUCGGUUAUUCCUCCAGAAGAGAUUCUUCCAGGAAUUCCUUCAAAGAGUCCUCAAGGAACUCCUCCAGAGUUUCCUCCAGGGAUAACUCAAAGAACUUCUCUUGGGAUUUCUCCAGGAAUUCUUUCAGGGAUAACUGUGGAAGUAUGAAUUGGAGAAAUUCCUCAUUGAAUCCCUGGAGGAAUUCCUAGAAGAUUUCCUUGAGAGAUUCAUGGAAAAAUUAGUGAAGGAUCCUUGGAGGAGGAAUUUCCGUAGAAAUCUCUGGAGAAAUUCCCUUAGAAAUCCCAAGAGAAACUCCUGGAGAAAUUCUUAGAGAAAUUCCCAUAGAAAUCGUCAAAAGAAUUCCUGAGGGAACUCCUGAAGUAAUCCCUAGGAGAGUUGCUGGAGAAAUCUUUUAAGGAAUUUUCAGAAGAAUGCUUGGAAGAGUUACUGACAAAAUCUCUGGAGCAAUCUCUGGAGGAAUACCUCGAAGCAUCAUGAGCAUGAGCAUAGAUGACCGUACAAUUCGUAGUUGCUACUCCGUGAUUGACCAGAACAAUCGAAAUUGCACAAGGAACCAACAAACGGAGCUUGGGAUUAACUACCGCUCUCAAUGUGCACAGUUUGAGAAUUCCAGACUUUAUUAGUCAAUAACGGCGCCGGCCACGUCCUUACGGUCAUCGAGGAAGGAAAGGAAUGUUAGUGUGACGUACGUUGCUACUAGAGACCGAGAUCACCUCAUUUUCUCCACGACUGUCACGGGAAGGAGUUUUUGUUAGUGGGGAGGGGGAGAGUCACAUGAUUUGGAUUCACUUUGAUGUCGACACCGAAGAUGACGAACCAUUCAAAUUUUUGUGUAAAUGCAAAAAAUGAAAGAAAGAUAUUUAUUAUCAACUGAAUUUGCAUUGGAAACUAGCGCCGACACAUGACGUGACGAACUUUUCAAUAUUUGUUAGAUAAAUACACAAAAACCAGAGCAGAAUUUUAUACAUCCUUUAGCAGUAAUUAUUAUGAUAAAAUGGAACGAGCUCACCAAUAAACAUCCUUCGAAGUGU